rnacentral:rRNA from 1 species
GUGGGGAAUCUUGCGCAAUGGACGAAAGCCUGACGCAGCCAUGCCGCGUGAAUGAUGAAGGUCUUAGGAUUGUAAAAUUCUUUCACCGGGGACGAUAAUGACGGUACCCGGAGAAGAAGCUCCGGCUAACUUCGUGUCAGCAGCCGCGGUAAUACGAAGGGGGCUAGCGUUGCUCGGAAUUACUGGGCGUAAAGGGCGCGUAGGCGGACAGCUUAGUCAGAGGUGAAAGCCCAGGGCUCAACCUUGGAAUUGCCUUUGAUACUGGCUGUCUUGAGUUUGGGAGAGGUGAGUGGAACUCCGAGUGUAGAGGUGAAAUUCGUAGAUAUUCGGAAGAACACCAGUGGCGAAGGCGACUCACUGGCCCAAUACUGACGCUGAGGCGCGAAAGCGUGGGGAGCAAACAGGAUUAGAAACCCGUGUAGUCC